GUUAAGGAAUAAUUUUCAUUAAAAUAAAACUUAAAAGUAAAAAAAUAGAAACCCCCAAAUCCCUAACACUACUCGAUCAGUACGUACUAACCUUCUUCUCCUCCGCCGGUACAGCUCAUCUCGACGACGGCUUGCACGACCAUCCUCUCUACGCUGCUGAGCUGCAAGUGUUUGAGGUCUAGCAGCACUUUGGCUAGCAGAUGAAGAAAUCAUACCUUUUGAUUAUGUAUCAUAUGCUAAUUGCUAAGGAGCUCCUGAUGUGCCCACCUUAGAUGCAGAUUUAAUCAAGCAAUUGUAGUUUUAUACAAAAUAUGUUCUCACUGAGACCAUGAAAGUUCUUACAACACAAAAUAUCUCAAUAGCAGCUUAGCAUUGAGGAAUUAGAAGCAAGUAAAGGAUGGACAACAAGGAAUGAGGAUCAUUUGAAAAUGAGAUAGCUGAAUAAUGGCUGAGUAUGCAUUCACUGACAGAACUGACCUCUUUGGAAUGCCAUGGUAUAAGCAUCUGAUAUUGGAGAGCUGACCUUUAAUAUGUUUUGACCAACUUAAGUGUGGGGAGCUUCUUUGUAGCUUGCCAUGCCUACAUCAGAUUUAUCAGACUAUACUGGUUUGUUGCAAUUGAAGCUGGAACGACUCUAAAUAUUUUCUAUUGUCUCAAGAUUUUGAAGCCUCCGUAUAUCCACUUUUCCUAGCUUAGGAUUUGGACAUAAAGAAGGGCACAUACUUAUCCAUUUGUUUUUGCAAUUUUAACCCCUGUUUAGAAUUUUAUCCUAUUUUCUAUGUUAUUUUAUAGAGCAACCCCAAAUACUUGUUGGUAUGGCUUGUUAGAGGAUGAUAUGUGAUUUAAGUAGGCCAAAUAAUUAUUAGGCUUUCUUCCUGAACAUUUUAAGUUCUUCAGAAUGUCCUUUAUUUGAGUUCAUGAUUUUCUUUUGAUUGUUGUUUAAUACCUUUGUAUCUGUUUCCUUUUCAUUCAAUAUUUUUGGUCGCCAAUAAUACUUCCAAAGGAUGAUUCGAUCUAGAUGGUAGGU